rnacentral:rRNA from 1 species
GACGAACGCUGGCGGCGUGCCUAAUACAUGCAAGUAGAACGCUGAAGGAGGAGCUUGCUCUUCUGGAUGAGUUGCGAACGGGUGAGUAACGCGUAGGUAACCUGCCUGGUAGCGGGGGAUAACUAUUGGAAACGAUAGCUAAUACCGCAUAACAGUAGAUGUUGCAUGACAUUUGCUUAAAAGGUGCAAUUGCACCACUACCAGAUGGACCUGCGUUGUAUUAGCUAGUUGGUGGGGUAACGGCUCACCAAGGCGACGAUACAUAGCCGACCUGAGAGGGUGAUCGGCCACACUGGGAAUGAGGAACGGCCCAGACUCCUACGGGAGGCAGCAGUAGGGAAUCUUCGGCAAUGGACGGAAGUCUGACCGAGCAACGCCGCGUGAGUGAAGAAGGUUUUCGGAUCGUAAAGCUCGGUUGUAAGAGAAGAACGAGUGUGAGAGUGGAAAGUUCACACUGUGACGGUAUCUUACCAGAAAGGGACGGCUAACUACGUG